CCCUUAGAUGUCCUGGGCCGCACGCGCGCUACACUGAGUGUCUGAGAUACGAGUCUGCCUGGUCCGGCAAGGUCUAGGUAAUCGCUAAAAGUCACAUCAUGCUUGGGAUAGAUUAUUGCAAAUAUUAAUCUUGAACGAGGAAUUCCUAGUAAGCGCAAGUCAACAGCUUGCGUUGAUUACGUCCCUGCCCUUUGUACACACCGCCCGUCGCUACUACUGAUUGGAUGUUUAAGCGAGGUUCUCGAACUGCUAGCGACUUAGCUUCGGUGAGGUCGCAGUGUGGGAAGUGAACCUAGCUUUGGUGUCUAGAGGAAGUAAAAGUCGUAACA
rnacentral:rRNA from 1 species